rnacentral:rRNA from 1 species
AUUGAACGCUGGCGGCAGGCCUAACACAUGCAAGUCGAGCGGAUGAAGGGAGCUUGCUCCUGGAUUCAGCGGCGGACGGGUGAGUAAUGCCUAGGAAUCUGCCUGGUAGUGGGGGAUAACGUCCGGAAACGGGCGCUAAUACCGCAUACGUCCUGAGGGAGAGAGUGGGGGAUCUUCGGACCUCACGCCAUCAGAUGAGCCUAGGUCGGAUUAGCUAGUUGGUGGGGUAAAGGCCUACCAAGGCGACGAUCCGUAACUGGUCUGAGAGGAUGAUCAGUCACACUGGAACUGAGACACGGUCCAGACUCCUACGGGAGGCAGCAGUGGGGAAUAUUGGACAAUGGGCGAAAGCCUGAUCCAGCCAUGCCGCGUGUGUGAAGAAGGUCUUCGGAUUGUAAAGCACUUUAAGUUGGGAGGAAGGGCAGUAAGUUAAUACCUUGCUGUUUUGACGUUACCAACAGAAUAAGCACCGGCUAACUUCGUG